rnacentral:lncRNA from 1 species
CCAAUCGCUUUCUCUCUACAUAGAAAAGUAAAAAUAAAAACAAAUAAGGAAACUAAAUUAACGCAUUUAAUUCAUUAAUUAAUCGAGGCAGAUUUCCGAGAAUUAAUAGGAUUCGUCCUCCAUGAAUUAGCAGAGCAGAGCAUCCCCGAAUCCUCUACGACAAUCACCGAAAUCCAUACAACCUAGAAACUCGACUAAACCCCGUACGGUUAAGAUUUAGAAUUAUAACUUGAAAAUCGGAAGCCGGUCGUCGGACAAUCGGACUUGGGACAGCAAUCGGGCUUGGGACAGCAACUGCACUUUCUGAUUUCCUUUAAGGUAAUUAAGCUCCUCCUCGGAUGUGAUUAAGCUUUAGUUUACCCGUUUUGGAACUGUAAUUAAGCUCUAAUGAUUUAUUAGAUAAUCCAAAACACAUGAUUUUCAGGCGCUUGUUGCUCCGAACCAAAAUGUUGCGAGAUUGAUGCACAUCUGACUCGAGUUUUGGAAUUUUAAUGUUUGUGUUUCAGGUUUCCGGUAAAUGGGUUCGGCAGCCUCUUCAGUUGCAGUCAACUUCUCUGCCUCUCUUUUACUUUGUUGAACCAAAUCCAGAGGUUUCUACAAUGCACACGUUUAUUCAUAUGGUUUUCUACUUAUGCUGUUUCAACUUAAUGCCUAAUGAUUAGUACGAAUAAUGAUAAUACGCGUGUGAGCUCAUGAACACAAAAUCUUGAUGCAGCGUGCAUUUCUCAAUUUGUUUGGCUGGUUUCCGUUUACGUGCUGUCUCUUCUA